AUUGAACGCUGGCGGAAUGCUUUACACAUGCAAGUCGAACGGCAGCACGGACUUCGGUCUGGUGGCGAGUGGCGAACGGGUGAGUAAUACAUCGGAACGUGCCCAAUCGUGGGGGAUAACGUAGCGAAAGCUACGCUAAUACCGCAUACGAUCUAAGAAUGAAAGCGGGGGAUCGCAAGGCCUCGCGCGAUUGGAGCGGCCGAUAUCAGAUUAGGUAGUUGGUGGGGUAAAGGCCCACCAAGCCAACGAUCUGUAGCUGGUCUGAGAGGACGACCAGCCACACUGGAACUGAGACACGGUCCAGACUCCUACGGGAGGCAGCAGUGGGGAAUUUUGGACAAUGGGCGAAAGCCUGAUCCAGCCAUUCCGCGUGCAGGAUGAAGGCCCUCGGGUUGUAAACUGCUUUUGUACAGAACGAAAAGGUUUCUACUAAUACUAGGAGCUCAUGACGGUACUGUAAGAAUAAGCACCGGCUAACUACGUGCCAGCCGCCGCCGUAA
rnacentral:rRNA from 1 species